CGGAGAGAGACACACGCAGCGAAGACAGAGCUUAAGCAAGAUAGUAGAAGCAGCCGCAUAUUUCUGUCACCAAGUUGAGUCGCUAUUGCCAGCCUCUAAGCCAGUAAGAUGAGGGUUCUGCUAUGUUUCGCCUUGCUUGUGCUCGUCAUUGGGGCCUACGCAGGAGGUGACUACCACCGUAGAUCAUACCGACCCUAUCGCUCCUCCCGUUACGUCGCCCAGCCUCGCAGAUACGACAACGUCGACUCGUACCGCGGAUCGUACGACACCGGCCGCUACCACAGUGAUUACCCUGUGUACCCGCCCAAGAGAUACAACGGAAGGAGAAAGAGUUACCGCCCCAGAAGAAAAUACUACGCUCCACGCCCACGCUACAACUCUUACCACAAACAACAAAACCGCUACCGCUCCGGGCGUUACUGAACGAUGUAAACCCUACAUAGACCCUGAACAGAUAUAUCGACCCAUCCACUACAGUCUUACGAUUUCGGAAAUAUCUAGGCUCUAUAUAGACAGAUAGACCCCUCCAACUACUACCAUAGUUUCACGCAUUCCUAAGAGAUGCCACAGGCGCCUCUCAUGUGUACAUUUCAUGAUGGUUAACGGGUUUCGACUUACGUUUCUUUUUGAAGCCUCGUUUGGGAUGGAUCUAACUGGUUGGAGUGAUUGCGAGGCACCGCUAGCCAAUCACUGUUGCCAUAGGGGCGUUCUAAAACGCUGCUUAUUAACGAAGUGCCGCCAAGUUGACUAAUUAGCGUGCACGCGUCAACACCACGUGCAAUCUGAGUUAGCUUGACUCACUCACUUAGCAACAAGGAUGGUGCGAGUAUCUCGCUCAGACAGAUAGGUCAGUUAGUUAUAGACACGUUUAGAAGUUUAUUCGAGUUGUUUCUAACCAUUUCUUAUUGUGAUAUGAAGAUUGUUAUUAAUCCUCGUUGAUAGAUCGUGUAGAAAGAAUUAUUCUCUACACGUGAUUUUCAUAUACGUAUAUGGCAAAAGCAGAUAGGCCAACAUUAAAAUACAGUUCCAUUAGAGAAGAAUUAGUUUAGAGACCGAGUAUAUAUCUAGAUUUGUGUCAAUUUCUAUCAAGCUCUGAAUAAACAAGAUUUAUCGCAAGAA